UCUUACAGUAUUUAGCAACUUAGCAAAACUAAAGUGUAAUUCGCAAAAAUGAUAAUUUCCAACCUUUUCCAGACAAGUAUUGGUAUCGUCGUUAGCUUUCUGUUGUGCACAGGAAUGUCAUCUCCUAAGAUUCAUAUUCCUCCUGAAUGGGAACCUCACUCACAUACUUGCAUGGUUUGGCCGGCAUCCGCGAGAAUUUGGAGGUCGUCCAGCUACCUGGACAAAGUUCGCCAGGACAUUGCCCGCAUUGCGAAGGCAAUAUCGCCCUACGAACCGGUCACUCUGAUUGUCAACCCGGAUCAAGUAUCCUCAGCAAAGUCGGCUUUCACGACGACUGACUUGAAAAGAAUUUCAAUCGUACCAAUGCCCGUGGAUGAUUUGUGGGCGAGGGACACGCUUCCGGUAUUUGGAAUCCAACAGGAUGGGAGUUCGUCACCUGGGUCAAAUACCUUGGUCGGGAUUGACUUCAACUUUAAUGGCUGGGGAAACAAACAGGUCCAUACAAAGGAUGCCAAACUGGCUGAAACUUUCUUGAAGUACUACAACAUUACGAGGCUGACGUCUAAAAUCGUGGGAGAAGGAGGAAGUCUCGAGUUUGACGGGGAUGGAACCUUGUUAGUAACGGAGAGCAGCAUCUUCAAUUCGAACAGGAAUCCGGGCUAUAAAACGAGACGAGACCUCGAACUGGAUCUAAUAUCGGUUUUCGGGUUGGAGAAAGUCAUCUGGUUCAAAGGAGUUGUCAACCAGGACAUUACGGACGCCCAUGUCGAUUCUUUGGUCAGGUUUGUCCGCCCUGGCGUCGUCAUAUUGAACCGGCCACCGAAAGGGAGUACGUUAAGGACGUAUGGUCGAAAUCUUCCGACGAAGCAAAAGCUGUCCUAAAAAAUUCCACGGAUGCCAAAGGACGACCUUUCACCAUCGUCGAACUCUAUGAACCCGAUCCCUACAAGAUUGUCGUUCCUCCGGGGACAGAGGACGACUUUCUGUCCUCAUACCAGAGCUGGGUGAUUAUUGGUUUUUGAGGGUGGAUUAAGGAUUAUGGAUUAACCACAAAAUAAUGUGGAUUGUGAUUAAAUUAUUUUCGUCAGAUUAAUUCAUGUCAGGAUUAAUCCGGAUUAAUCCAUAAAUUCUGGAAAUUUCAGGAUUAUGGAUUAAUAAUCCGGAUUAAUUUGGUGAUUAAUGAUUUUACACUACCUACAGAUAUAUCAAGCGCAACAAAUUUCAACUAUGUGGUUCCACAUAAAAUAUUUAAAACGCCAGUUUCAAUUGAUAUACAGUCCAUUUAUUUACGAUACGACCCUCGACGUCACCACUGCAAUGCUUUUAGUAAUGAGAGUGAUGACGUCGAGGAUCGUAUGGUUAAAAAAAUAGAAGUAUGUAGCACAAGGCAGCGAGGACAUGUUGACUCUUCAAAUAGUAGCUGACAGGACAAAGAUGUGAGAACUUGAGACUUCAAGCUACACAGUGGGAUAAAAUGGAACUGUGGAAAUUGAACUGAGUAAUCCAGAUUGAGAAUUAAUCAUGAAUAAGUAAUCAUGAUUAGUAAUCAUGAUUGGGAUUAAUCAGGAUUAGUAAUCCGUAAUCACGAUUACGGAUUAUGACAUCUAAUGGGAUUAUUCCCGGAUUAAUUCUAAUUCCAGAAAAAUCGGGAUUAUGGAUUGAGAUUACUUUACAAAAAACUCUCAUUGCUGGAUUAGGGAUUAUGGAUUAAUAAUCCAUAAUCCGGGAUUAAAAUCCAUAAUCCUUAAUCAGGAUUAUCCCAGCUCUGCCUCAUACGUCAACUACUUGGUGGUCAAUGGGGCCGUGAUUAUGCCGCAGUUUGGAGAUAGGCAAGCAGAUGAGGAGGCUAAAACAAUUUUGGGGCUGCAAUACCCUGGGAGAAAUGUGGUUCAGGUGAAUAUCCCGUAUUUGGCGUCUGGUGGGGGUGGCAUUCACUGGGCGACGCAUGAUGUGCCGAGUGUGGCUGGAAGAACGGGCGUCUAGAUAUCCACAAAACAUCGAAAUUGGAGAACUUUUCGACCUUACUUCUCGAUCCAGCUUCCUAGCCGAAGUUUGUUGCAUGGAGGAGGGAUUUUUGGAAUCUGCUCGACCGACGCCAUACCUUCGAAUCAUGCUGACGCAGAAUGACGGGGCGACAGUUAUGGUUGCUAUAGCGACCGGAGAUUUUUACGACGUGGCAAAAAGUCUCUAUGAGGUCGGGAAGGCUUCCUGGUUUCCACGCGGCAUGUUCGAGAUCCGUCCUCGUACAUCGCAAGACUCGUGGUCAACUUAUCCGUACGAGUUGUGGUUUCUGAACGAUUCCGGCACAGUUGAGGAGACGAGUGAUAAAUCCUGCCAGACUUCAGAAUGGGACGAGUCGAUGCAAGACAUGGGCAUUUUCUAAAUAUGGAUAUUAAACUAACGUGAAUUUUAUUACACAUGUACAGACGUCGUAUAUGAAUGACCGAUAAAGCCUCAAAAUAUGAAUGAAAAAUGACCGCAAAAAUCCCCAAUAUAUGAACAUAAAAAUGACUUUAUUUUUUUAAUUUUUGGCUUAAUUGUUUGGUAUAUUUUCUUGUAGUGCUCAAUUUUUAUCAAUUAAACAAGUUCUGGGGUGCUUUAACUCAUUCCCAAUGAAUUAAAUCACCUUAGGCGAAAAUGAAUGUAAAUUUCUGCAAGUUUUUCAUAAUGGUUCAUUGUGAGAAAACUGAAUUUUUUGUCAUUUUCUGUCGAUUUGGUUGCCAAAUCUUAGAAUUUGGGCAAAAAUGAUAAAAUGCACGAAAAAACCCCGAAAUAUGAUCGGGAAUAUGAAUAUGUCCCAAAACCCGAAAAUAUGACCAAUAUGAGAAAAUAUGCUUUGACCUACGUGACCUACUAGUGACCAUAAACAUUCUCAGAAAGUUUGGCGACUGUAGGUCAAUAAAUGGAAAAAGUCAUUUUUCAUUCAUAUCCGACGUAUGCACAUGUACUAUGUACUGGUAACAUUUUUUACAUCUCUGCGAAUACAAUUUGUACCACAAUGAAUAAACAAUUGUACAUUUUUUAUC